rnacentral:rRNA from 1 species
AGUGAACGCUGGCGGUAGGCCUAACACAUGCAAGUCGAACGGCAGCACAGUAAGAGCUUGCUCUUACGGGUGGCGAGUGGCGGACGGGUGAGGAAUACAUCGGACUCUACUUUUUCGUGGGGGAUAACGUAGGGAAACUUACGCUAAUACCGCAUACGACCUACGGGUGAAAGCAGGGGAUCUUCGGACCUUGCGCGAUUGAAUGAGCCGAUGUCGGAUUAGCUAGUUGGCGGGGUAAAGGCCCACCAAGGCGACGAUCCGUAGCUGGUCUGAGAGGAUGAUCAGCCACACUGGAACUGAGACACGGUCCAGCCUCCUACGGGAGGCAGCAGUGGGGAAUAUUGGACAAUGGGCGCAAGCCUGAUCCAGCCAUACCGCGUGGGUGAAGAAGGCCUUCGGGUUGUAAAGCCCUUUUGUUGGGAAAGAAAAGCAGCAGCUUAAUACCCCGCUGUUCUGACGGUACCCAAAGAAUAAGCACCGGCUAACUUCGUG